UUGCACUCACGUGGCUUUCACCUGGUAUUCUUUCUUUUCCCCCAUCUUUAGGGCUCCCAAGUACUGCUGUGAUGUCUGUGCCUUCUGUCGCUCCCACCAAACAUGGGUUUGUUCUUUUUAGGUUCAAUAUCAUUUCUUGACAUUAUGCAAUGUUUCUCAUUUUUCUUGUGUUUCAUGUUGCCAAUCUACGCCUAGUUGGAGCUACAGCGAGCCCAAAUGCUGACUGCUCUGCUUUGACCAAGUGAGAUGCAAAAAGAAGAGCUUGCUUCCUGAGGUUUUUCUUGUGAUAAGACUCUCAAUGAUUUGUUAAGGAGGCAAGUGAUGGGUGCUAACCGUGUGACAAUCGACAUCACUUUGGGAACAUUUGAGAGCCCCUUCCUCCAGAGCUGCUUGCCUCCAGAAUAGAGUGCUCAGGAAUGUUCACUGGCAGAAGAUCUGGCCUGUGACUAAACAGCUCCAGCUUGGUAUGGGAAAACUGGGGAAUGAUACCAUCGUGUUCUGUGAAAAACAAGAUGCAGAUGGGCAUCCCUGCUCCCUCUUGUCUGCUGGCAAGGCCCAGAAGAUGGGAACAGAGGAGUUUCUGCUGAGAUCCCAGAGCCAGAAGCUGCCGCUCCAAGGAGAGCUGACUCAACCACAUUGGAUUUGAGCUGUCACUCCAAAGACAGCUGACUCGACCACUUUGAAACUAUUGAAAAGGGGCCGUCAUCGCCAUGGUCAUGGCCGUCGUUCUCAUCAUUCUCCUCAUCGUCAACAGAACAAUGCCUGACGACCCACCACUACUGAAGAUCAAAGACUGAAUUACAAACCACGCUGGAUCCAUGGUGGUGACUGUCUCCCUCUUACUUCCUGUAAAGACUCCUUGCUUCUUCUUUCCUAUCUUUCCUAUCGCCCUCCUUCCCUUCCCCAUUACCCUAAUUCAUAAUAGCAUCCGUCCUCCCCUUCCCCAUUUCCCUAAUUACGAUUUGUAAUAAAUUGGUCGGACCAACAUUUGAA